UAUUUAACAAAUUUAAAAAAAAAAUUAAAAAGAAACAAAAAAAAAAAUAAUAAAGUGCUGGAAUUGCUGGAGUACAGGUGGCGUGGAAGAAGAAGAAAAGAAUAGGGGAGGAGAGAAGAGAAGAAAAAAAUUAAAAAGAAAAAAAAAUGUUAUUUUCUCAUGUACGAGAAAAAAGAAAAGAAAAACGUAGGUCAUAUUCUUAUAGACUCCGAAACUGAAACCUGCCAAUUGCAAUUAGCUAUGGCCUCUAGCUAGGAAAAUGCAUCCCAAACCUCAAUGCGCUGUACAAUAGAGAAAUGGGAAAAUCCUAGCAUAAGUUUUGUGGGUUGUCUUCGUCAUGGCAAGAACCCACCACCAAGAUUAUGACUGUGAUAGUUAUUGUUAUUACUAACAUCACAAUUAUCUACCCUGGACUUGGAAUCUGCCUCCGCCGCACCUUCGCCGCUCGAGGAGGAGAUAGAAGGAGGAAACCGGCCGCAUUUCUGACACCUUGCCACCCCCAGUAUCUGACGGCAGGAAGGACACGAGGAUUGGGAGCCUAGCCACGGGUCGAUACACCCAACAUGGAACCCGUGCCCACACUGUGGCAAAAUCCUGAUCUCAUCUUUCUCACCAAACUCACCUAAGCAGAUUGCGCACUCCGUCGAUGCAAACUUACAAGAACCUGAGGCCGACACAUCGCCGUACGUGAACUUGGGGAGAGACUGGAGGAUCUUCUUCUUCAACCCCUUAUUGACCUUGGCUUGAGACGGAGAACGAGAAGCACUGCUCUCGCUGCGGCGGAGCCAAGCACAACGAACCACAGCAAUGAGUCCCACAACGCAUAUCAAUGCGCAUAGAAGAGCUGCCAGUAUGACGACGAAGUCUGACUCGACGUUGACGGCCUCAGGUGGGUCGGCGGCAGGGGGAGAGUCAGAGCCCUUAAGCAUUCUUGAAAAGCGAGUCAUGGGUAAUGGUUAUGUAGCGUAAAGUGGGAGAAUUAACAAAGAAAGAGAGAGAAGCAAAGAGAAGAGAAAGUGGGUAUUUGGAAUUGGAGAGGUUCUUGAAGUGGGCAUAAAUAUAUAUAGAAAUGAAGAUUUAUGGAAAGGUGGUAAGCAGUUCCAGAAUAGUUGAUGGUGUAAUAAGUGUUAAUAGGAAUUGAAAGAGAAGAUGAUGAUGGUGAAAGCGAACGCUUUGAUGAAGAAGAACUUCUUCUGGUCUCAACCAUGUUUGAUCUUCUUUACUUCUUCUUCUACAGAUCCAAAGAAUUAGAGAAGAAUGAAGCAAAAAAAAACGAUUUGGGUUUGUGUGUGAGAGAAAAA
rnacentral:misc_RNA from 1 species